GACGAACGCUGGCGGCGUGCUUAACACAUGCAAGUCGAACGGUGAAGCGCCUUCCUUUUUGGUGGGUGUGGAUGAGUGGCGAACGGGUGAGUAACACGUGAGUAACCUGCCCCCUUCUUCUGGAUAACCGCAUGAAAGUGUGGCUAAUACGGGAUAUUCUGGGUCUGUCGCAUGAUGGGUCUGGGAAAGAUAUUGUUUCGGUGGGGGAUGGGCUCGCGGCCUAUCAGCUUGUUGGUGGGGUGAUGGCCUACCAAGGCGGUGACGGGUAGCCGGCCUGAGAGGGUGGACGGUCACACUGGGACUGAGACACGGCCCAGACUACUACGAGAGGCAGCAGUGGGGAAUAUUGCACAAUGGGGGCAAGCCUGAUGCAGAGACGCCGCGUGAGGGAUGGAGGCCUUCGGGUUGUGAACCUCUUUCGCCAGUGAAGCAGGCCUGCCUCGUUUGUGGGUGGGUUGACGGUAGCUGGAUAAGAAGCGCCGGCUAACUACGUG
rnacentral:rRNA from 1 species